rnacentral:rRNA from 1 species
CCCUACGGGAGGCAGCAGUGGGGAAUAUUGGACAAUGGGCGAAAGCCUGAUCCAGCCAUGCCGCGUGAGUGAUGAAGGCCUUAGGGUUGUAAAGCUCUUUUACCAGGGAAGAUAAUGACUGUACCUGGAGAAUAAGCCCCGGCUAACUUCGUGCCAGCAGCCGCGGUAAUACGAAGGGGGCUAGCGUUGUUCGGAAUCACUGGGCGUAAAGCGCACGUAGGCGGAUUUUUAAGUCAGGGGUGAAAUCCCGAGGCUCAACCUCGGAACUGCCUUUGAUACUGGGAAUCUUGAGUAUGGUAGAGGUCGGUGGAACAGCAAGUGUAGAGGUGAAAUUCGUAGAUAUUUGCUAGAACACCAGUGGCGAAGGCGGCCGACUGGACCAUAACUGACGCUGAGGUGCGAAAGCGUGGGGAGCAAACAGGAUUAGAAACCCCUGUAGUCC